rnacentral:rRNA from 1 species
UACGUAGGACGCAAGCGUUAUCCGGAUUUACUGGGCGUAAAGCGCGGGCAGGCGGCUUCGCAAGUCUGGUGUGAAAUCUCCCGGCUCAACCGGGAGCAGCCACUGGAAACUAUGGAGCUGGAGUCUGGCAGAGGUAGGCGGAAUUCCGGGUGUAGCGGUGAAAUGCGUAGAUAUCCGGAGGAACACCGGUGGCGAAGGCGGCUUCCUGGACCGACACUGACGCUGAGGCGCGAAAGCUAGGGGAGCAAACGGG